UAGGCAGGCAAGGCAAUCGCUCUUCUCGUGUUAUUGUUUGAUAAAACAAGACGAGAAGAGAGGAAAGUCCGAACACCACUCAGUUUUUCUGGCUAUUUUUUUAGCCAGCAAGACGGAAAAACGGUAGCGGGUAACGCCCGUCCGGAGUAAUCCGAGAGGUGCGAACAGUGACGUCUUGGUUCUGUAAAGAGCCAGACCCCCUUUUUAAUCGCAAGAGUAAAGGGGUGAUUCCCAAUGGCAACAUUGGGGGUGAAACGGCUAAAUCCUUACCGGGGUGCAAGAGCAAAGCGGGCAGAGAAUUUUUUCUGUCCGUUAAAAGUGGCUCGCUUGACCUUGCGGGUAACUGCAAGGCUUAGAGAAAUGAUUGCCAUUCGCUUUUUUGCAAGCGAAACAGAAUUCGGCUUAUUGCCUACCUAAAUG
rnacentral:RNase_P_RNA from 1 species